rnacentral:lncRNA from 1 species
UUAAGAGAAGAUGGACUAACGUGACAAAUGUCAAAAAAUGUAAUUCUCGACCAGCCCAGAAGUGAAGCGGCCCACCGGGAACUCUCCCGAUUCUCCCGAUUACCCACCCCGGGCCUGUACACACACACACAUACACAUACACACACAUACACACACACCAUCGUCAAGAGACAGAAACAGAGUCUGGAGUACCUGGAGCAAGGUACACACACACACACACACACACACACACACACACACACCAUCGUCUGGAGUACCUGGAGCAAGAUACAAACACACGUGUACCAUACUCAUGCUGUUUGUUUAUCUGUGUGUGUGUGUAUUGGUGUGGAUACCCCAACGUGGGCAAGUCCAGCUUCAUCAACAAGGUGUGUGUGUGUGUGUGUGUGUGUGUGUGUGUGUGUGUGUGGAUACCCCAACGUGGGCAAGUCCAGCUUCAUCAACAAGGUGUGUGUGUGUGUGUGUGUGUGUGUGUGUGUGUGUGUGUGUGUGUGUAUACCCCAACGUGGGCAAAUCCAGCUUCAUCAACAAGGUGUGUGUGAGAUUUUUACCCCAUUCCCACUCUGGAAGCCAUUUCAUUCUGGCUGUUUACUGGUGUUGUGUGUGUGUUUACUGGUGUGUGUGUGUGUGUGUGUGUGUGUGUUUACUGAAACACUCAUGAUAUGUUGUAAAGUAUUGGGCACACACAAUAGCAUUUAAUAGUAAUCGUGUUCCAUUGUGUUGUGGUCAGAAAUUAAUUGAUGUGAAUUAACAUCGAAAUCACGCACCUGAAAUAUAAAAUUUCAAAAGAAAGAGGGUCUCAUCACUUCCAUAUGGUUGUCUGACAGAAAAGAAGGAGCAGUUGUUUGUAGAAGAGAAGAGUGCACAAAAUAGUGGAUAUCUAUCUAUCUAUCUUUAACUCCUUAUCACCCUGCCAGUCUCACACUCCAUACUGUAUAUCUUUCUAUCUCUCCAUCUUCCAAUCUAUCUGUCUUUACUCAACUCUCUCCAUUCAGACAGACACAGACAGACAGACAGACAGACACACACACACACACACACACACACACACACACCUCCCCUUUUCCUUCUCCUGUGUCUGCAUGCAUUGAAUUGCACUAAAUGUUUUCGUCUUUUACUACUUAUUUCCAUCCAUCUUAAAAGUCCAUCCAUCUUAAAAUGUGUAGAUGAAAUAUAGCUUAUACGCUGUAUUCAGCUAGACUAGUUAGCAGCACAACAGGCAUAUUGUGUUCCACAUGUGACCUAACAUGUAUCGUGGAAAACUUUUCCAAAACCGAACUUUUAAACGGAACUUUUACCCACGGAGCUGUUAGGCAACUAGGAGCUUAUGAGCUCCCCUCGUAAACUUUACACACACCAGAUAUUUAUAUUGCAUAGGCCAAGUUCUCAUGGCAUAUAAGUAUUCUAUCACUACUUGACUUACCGAAUAAAAAGUGAGCUCCACACA